GCUGCUUCUAGAAUAAAUAAUCAAAUGAUGCAGACAGAUCCCCACAGAUACCUGCUGGGCUUACAGCAAAGAGAUGGCAUGGAGGUGCCUACAGCUGUUGGACUGUCACUCAAUCUAUACUACACCUCAUUGUGCCCAGGAGGGGUACAUCUAUGUCUCAGGCUGUGUGAGGAUGCCAAGACUCUUCACAGGACCAAGGCAUUGCUCCACUUCUACUGAGUCCUUGGGGGCAUGGCUCUCCACUAAAACAGAUGAAAUGCAGAGGUUUUCUUCUAUACGCCCACUCAUCCGGCAGGUUACCAAGCACCAGAAGAAAAAAAAAAAAAGCUGGGAAGAGAUUUCCUUGCAAGCUAGCACCACUGGGACCUACAGGACACAAAAAGGAAAAACUUGCUUCUCCUGAUACCUUCCCAUUCUUUUAUAUGGCUAGAGGAGGUAUAUCAUUUUGUCUUCUCUGCUUAAAUAGCCCUGAAACCUAAAUUUUACAUAAUAAGAAAACAUGUGAUUGUGAGAUGGUGAUCUCUUCUGUAGAAGAUGGAGCUAUCCUUCCCCCUCUGUGUAAGCAGUGUAUGAAAUAGCUCAGAUUCAUUGGGUAUCAGAGGAGCAGAGAAAGUUCAUGUGCCUACUGGAAACAUGCCUCCUGGCUUUAGGGAGUGGGACACUGCCUGGAGAGUAGGAACGGGAAUUAGCUAUAGGAUUUAAAUGCAAUCAUAUGCUCUGACCCUAACUACUGAAUUGCGCUUCCCCUCAAGCAGAUGCUUCUCCUAUAGUUACAACCAGCCCGGACUUUUUAGUCAUGCUACAAUUCACCACCACUGAGCUGAUCAAAUUAUCACAGUGUCUGGUUUACAAUAUCACUGAUUAAGUCACAGAGGAGGAAGCUAAUUAUAGAGGAGCAUGCUAUUUGCACACAGAGAUGCUGUAUCAAGCUCUGCAGGAGGCAGAUGGAAGUAUUUUAAAAGAAGAAAGGGCGUACAACAGCAAAACACAACUUUGGUGGGAAUUCUACAGCCUCUUCUCCUCUGGAGGCAUUUCUUGAGCAUGGUGAUCUGAGGAGCUCUCAAAGCACAAAAGUAGAGCGCCAAGAGGUCUGAUUAAUUUUAUUACUUGGAUAUAUGAUCAUUACUGACUAGAAUAGCUCAAAGUUGCCUUGAAUGUCAACCUAUCAGUGUAUUCGGCCUUGAACAAGCAUUACAUAAUUACACUAAAUCACAAAAUCAGAAUUAUGGGAUUGUUUGGGGAGGGGUUAUCUUAAUACAGAAUGAUCUAAUUUGUAUCGAUCUUUCUAUAAUAUGUUUAAGGAUAAGUGUACUUAGGACCCAACCACAUCAUAAAAACAAGGUCUGGAGUCAAAUGGGCACAACCACAGUGUGGGUACUUAUUCAGAAAAUUCAUUGAGGCAAAUAGAGCUAUCUUCAGCGUGCUUGAAUUGAAAUGUUUUAAAUGCAAAACAAUUUAAUUUUGCUUACAUUUGACAUUAUUUUCUACAACAAUCAUGGGUUCCAUUGCCUUCCAACUUUACAAUGGGAAGUGCAAGUUCUGGAAGAUGAACUUGACAUUGCCUUAAUUUGUCUCCUGUGUGAUAGUUUACAAAGGGAAUAUAACAAAGAACUGCUGAUGCAACAGCUUUUACAUACAUUUAGCAUGAGUGUUAAGGCCAGAGAAAGAUACAGGGGCAAUUAAGGCUCACCUGCCUUAUAAAUCCUUUGGUAUAAAGCUUUCUCACUUGUCACCAUAAAAAAAAAUAAUAAAUCUAUAGGCAACAAAUUCAUGGAAAUGCUGCUUUGGCUGUACGGGAAGCCUGAAGUGGAAAAUAAAGCUGCUUUGGCAGGAUGGCUGGCAAGCAAUGCUGUAUGCAAGCUGAACUUUUUCCAGUGGUGAAGUGAGCCAAUCCUGGCCCUUGCUAAAGCUGGCAAAUAGGAGUUGAGUCUGUGAACUACAAUACACGAUUUCUCUUAUAGGAGCUUAAAAGAAUGGGAGAUCUGGAGGGAAUUUCUAUAUGAACCUCCUACAGUCAGAUCUUUAAGCCCCCUUUAGGUCAGCAUUAGUGCGGGUAGCACAAGCAGAAAGAGGAACCGGAUUACCCUGCUUUGGCUGUUCUGAAAUGGCAUUUAGCAUACUAUUUUCAGCUUGAUAGGACCAGAUAGCACAAUAGGAGGAGGGAAAGGCCAUCAUUUCCUUUUCAUGUGAAUAACUACGGAGAAACCAUAGAAGAAGCACUGACUUCCCAAGACUAGUGUUGAAAUGGGGGUCAUUUAUUUUGUUUCUGUUUAUAGAAAGCCUAAGCAGCAGACAAUUGGAUUUUGAGAUUUGCUCUCCAUAGCGUGACAAGAAAUUUUUUUGGAAUGGUAAUAUGAUGGAAGAGUAGGAGAUGCUUUGAACAACCUUUAUCUGAGGUAUCAGUAAUACCACUUCUUCCACAUCAUCACUAAAAAAGUCUGAACUAUCAGCAGACAGUCGCUGCUUGCAGUCCAACAACCUUCUUUGGGAUGCUGAAGCUUAGACAAGAGAGAGACAGGCUGUCAGUGCAUGUUCACACAGAGGACGGAACAAGCUGCUUGAAAAACAUAUCUGAGAUGGGAGCUAUUUUCCUUCAGCUGGCACAACCUUAGCUCCAUAUGGAGCCAUGUGCAAUAUGGCAACACUUGAUGGGAGCAUCACAGAACCAGGCUAGCCUCUGGUUCUUGACAAGAAGGGAGGAUUAGCAGCUGCAGUCUAAACUCGGAAAAGCAAUCCUCUCACAAAAGAACAU